rnacentral:rRNA from 1 species
AAUGAACGCUGGCGGCAUGCCUUACACAUGCAAGUCGAACGGCAGCAUGGCCUAGCUUGCUAGGUUGAUGGCGAGUGGCGAACGGGUGAGUAAUGCAUCGGAACGUGCCUUUUAGUGGGGGAUAACGUAGCGAAAGUUACGCUAAUACCGCAUAUUCUCUGAGGAGGAAAGCAGGGGACCUUCGGGCCUUGCGCUAGAAGAGCGGCCGAUGUCGGAUUAGCUAGUUGGUGAGGUAAAGGCUCACCAAGGCAACGAUCCGUAGCGGGUCUGAGAGGAUGAUCCGCCACACUGGGACUGAGACACGGCCCAGACUCCUACGGGAGGCAGCAGUGGGGAAUUUUGGACAAUGGGCGCAAGCCUGAUCCAGCCAUGCCGCGUGAGUGAAGAAGGCCUUCGGGUUGUAAAGCUCUUUCGGCUGGGAAGAAAUCGCACCCUCUAAUACAGGGUGUGGAUGACGGUACCAGCAGAAGAAGCACCGGCUAACUACGUG